AUUGAACGCUGGCGGCAUGCCUUACACAUGCAAGCCGAGCGGCAGCGCGGGGGCAACCCUGGCGGCGAGAGGCGAACGGGUGAGUAAUGCAUCGGAACGUGUCCUCUUGUGGGGGAUAACCAGUCGAAAGACUGGCUAAUACCGCAUGAGCACGAGAGUGGAAAGCGGGGGACCGCAAGGCCUCGCGCGAGAGGAGCGGCCGAUGACGGAUUGGCUAGUUGGCGGGGUAACGGCCAACCAAGGCGACGAUCCGUAGCUGGUUUGAGAGAACGACCAGCCACACUGGGACUGGGACACGGCCCAGGCUCCUACGGGAGGCAGCAGUGGGGAAUGUUGGACAAUGGGGGCAACCCUGAUCCAGCCAGGCCGCGUGUGUGAAGAAGGCCUUCGGGUUGUAAAGCACUUUCGGCCGGAACGAAAUCGCGCGGGUGAACAUCCCGCGUGGAUGACGGUACCGGAAGAAGAAGCACCGGCUAACUACGUGCCAGCCGCCGCCGUAACAC
rnacentral:rRNA from 1 species